rnacentral:rRNA from 1 species
GUGGGGAAUCUUGCGCAAUGGGCGAAAGCCUGACGCAGCCAUGCCGCGUGGAUGAUGAAGGUCUUAGGAUUGUAAAAUCCUUUCACCGGUGAAGAUAAUGACUGUAGCCGGAGAAGAAGCCCCGGCUAACUUCGUGCCAGCAGCCGCGGUAAUACGAAGGGGGCUAGCGUUGCUCGGAUUUACUGGGCGUAAAGGGCGCGUAGGCGGACAUUUAAGUCAGGGGUGAAAUCCCGGGGCUCAACCUCGGAACUGCAUUUGAUACUGGGUGUCUUGAGUAUGAGAGAGGUGUGUGGAACUCCGAGUGUAGAGGUGAAAUUCGUAGAUAUUCGGAAGAACACCAGUGGCGAAGGCGACACACUGGCUCAUUACUGACGCUGAGGCGCGAAAGCGUGGGGAGCAAACAGGAUUAGAUACCCUAGUAGUCC